CCUACGGGUGGCAGCAGUGGGGAAUAUUGCACAAUGGGCGAAACCCUGAAGCAGCGACGCAGCGUGCGUGAUGAAGUACUUCGGUAUCUAAAGCUCUAUCAGCAGGGGAGAAACUGACGGUACCUGAGUAAGAAUCCCCGGCUUACUACGUUCCCGCAGCCGCGGUCAUACGUAGGGGGCCAGUGUUAUCCGGAUUUCCUGGGUGUAAAGGGAGUGUAGGCGGCAGUGCAAGUCUGGAGUGAAAGGCGGGGGGUUAACCCCCGGACUGAAGUUGAAACUGGACGGCUGGAGUGCAGGAGAGGGAAGGGGAAUUCGUAGUGUAGCGGUGAAAUGCGUAGAUAUCAGGAGGAACCCCAGUGGCGAAGGCAGCUUACCGGAGUGCAACUGACGUUGAGGCUCGAAGGCGCGGGGAGCAAACAGGAUUAGAUACCCCAGUAGUC
rnacentral:rRNA from 1 species